GACGAACGCUGGCGGCGUGCCUAAUACAUGCAAGUCGAACGCAGUGGGGACGGGUGAGUAACACGUGGGUAACCUCCCAUCAGAGGGGAUAACACUUGGAAACAGGUGCUAAACCGAUACUGAUGGAUGGACCCGCGGUGCAUUAGCUAGUUGGUGAGGUAACGGCUCAACAAGGCCACGAUGCAUAGCCGGCCUGAGAGGAUGAUCGGCAACACUGGGACUGAGACACGGCCCAGACUCCUACGGGAGGCAGCAGUAGGGAAUCUUGCGCAAUGGGCGAAAGUCUGACCGAGCAACGCCGCGUGAGUGAAGAAGGCUUUCGGAUCGUAAAGCUCUGUUAUUAGAGAAGCGGUACCUAACCAGGAAGCCACGGCUAACUACGUGCCAGCAGCCGCGGUAAUUC
rnacentral:rRNA from 1 species